rnacentral:misc_RNA from 1 species
GAUGAAGAACGUAGCGAAAUGCGAUAAGUAAUGCGAAUUGCAGAAUUCAGUGAAUCAUCGAAUCUUUGAACGCACAUUGCGCCCGCUAGUAUUCUGGCGGGCAUGCCUGUCUGAGCGUCAUUUCAACCCUCGCCCCCGGCUUUUGCUGGGAGCGGUGUUGGGGAUCGGCCGCCCGUCACUGGGAGGCCGGCCCCGAAAUAGAGUGGCGACCACGCCGUGUGCUCCUCUGCGUAGUAGUAAAUCACCUCGCAGGCGGACAGCGGUGCGGCCUGCCGUAAAACCCCCAACUCUUUCUGGUUGACCUCAGAUCAGGUAGGAGUACCCGCUGAACUUAAGCAUAUCAAUAAGCGGAGGA